GUAGGGAAUAUUGCGCAAUGGGGGCAACCCUGACGCAGCAACUCCACGUGUGGGAUGAAGCAUUUCGGUGUGUAAACCACUGUCGAGAGGGAAUAAUUCGGCCUUUCGGGGCCGUUGAAUGUACCUUUAAAGGAAGCACCGGCAAACUUCGUGCCAGCAGCCGCGGUAAUACGAGGGGUGCAAGCGUUGUUCGGAAUCACUGGGCGUAAAGGGAGCGUAGGCGGGCCGCCAAGCGUUCUGUGCAAUCCCGGGGCCCAACCCCGGACCCGCAGAGCGAACUGGCGUCCUUGAGUGGUUCAGAGGCCGGCGGAAUUCCUGGUGUAGCGGUGGAAUGCGUAGAUAUCAGGAAGAACACCGAUGGCGAAGGCAGCCGGCUGGGGACCCACUGACGCUGAGGCUCGAAAGCGUGGGAAGCAAACAGGAUUAGAAACCCCAGUAGUCC
rnacentral:rRNA from 1 species